ensembl:lncRNA LINC02020 long intergenic non-protein coding RNA 2020
ACACUAUCCAAUAUGGUAACCACUAGCCACUUGUGACUACUGAGUGUCUGAAAGAUACCACCCACAUAAACAAAAACUUUUUGGGAGUCCUCCAGAAUUUUUAAGAGUUAUCUAAACUAUUGCCUUUAAUGACCAGGAACUCCAAUUUGAGAAGUUACCCUACGUUAAGCCAACAGCAGCCUGGCUCCUUCAUCCUGUGCAGUAUGGGACAGAGCUGGGUCCUUGUUGUCAUCAGCCAGACAAGCACACAUUAAAGCCCACCUUAGCCAUUGGCAUUACAGCUUUAAAAGCAGCUCCAUCCUACCAUGCUGUCACUCUACUCAAUCACGUGAUCUUAACGACCAGCUCUACAUAUCCUCUCUCCAUGCCCCCACCACCAUCCCCCACCAACAAAUCCGGUAAUCUAUCUCUGUCAAUAGUCCUGCAGUGAAUUCCGAAUAAGUUUUUCUCUUCCCUGGCCUGCCGUUUACGUAGUACCCUGGAUGAAUCUAUACUUACUCCAUAGUAAGUAGUACCUUGGAUGAAUCUAUACUUGCAUCCAAUGGAAAUGAGAGUGAUGGUGCAGAGUUAUCCGAAGUAACUCCAGCUAUGUUGUGGAUCUUCUAAUCAUGGGCUCAUCUAAGCCUUCCCAGAUAUCACUCUAGUUUUUACAAUCUUUGUUUAUGACAAUUAGGGCUGUAACAUUGGCUGUAGACAUUUGUUGCAUCAAGGAACUCAGCUUCCACUGAAGUUCUGAAGUUAAUCAGUUUCUGAUCUUGUUCUGCAACUCUCUGCAAGAAGAAAAAUCACCAGGAAAUAGUGCAUCCUGAAAGGAGUCAAAGUUUCCUUAUCCAGCUGGAGCAGUGUGAUCUCGGACCAGAGUCAAUUCCUUGCCCAACAGACUUCACAUUGAGCCAUGAGAAGCAGCCUACUUACCCUUACCUGGACACUUCUCCAAAACCUGUGAAAUGGCCUCUGUCACUGCCUCAAAGCCUCAUCCUUGAUUCUGCUAUCAGCUACAGGUCUGGGUUUGUGUCUCCGACAAAGAACCACCUCAAAGCCCCACAGAAAAGGACUGUACCGUAUACUUCAAACUAUUGACACCUCAAAGAACAGAGCUUGGGUUCAGGCUUCUGAUGCAUUCUGAGACACUCUCAGACCAUACCAGUGGGCUGGGUCAGGAUUUACAGAACUAUUUUCAUUUCAAGAGCAUACGGGCUCAUGAGAUUGCUAACUCAAGAUCCGGUGGAACAGAAAUACUUAUAUCGGACUGAAUAAACUGAUGAGGAAAAUCUUA